rnacentral:rRNA from 1 species
GACGAACGCUGGCGGCGUGCCUAAUACAUGCAAGUUGAGCGCUGAAGGUUGGUACUUGUACCAACUGGAUGAGCAGCGAACGGGUGAGUAACGCGUGGGGAAUCUGCCUUUGAGCGGGGGACAACAUUUGGAAACGAAUGCUAAUACCGCAUAAAAACUUUAAACACAAGUUUUAAGUUUGAAAGAUGCAAUUGCAUCACUCAAAGAUGAUCCCGCGUUGUAUUAGCUAGUUGGUGAGGUAAAGGCUCACCAAGGCGAUGAUACAUAGCCGACCUGAGAGGGUGAUCGGCCCAAUUGGGACUGAGACACCGCCCAAACUCCUACGGGAGGCAGCAGUAGGGGAUCUUCGGCAAUGGGCGAAAGUCUGGCCGAACCACGCCGCGUGAGUGAAGAAGGUUUUCGGAUCGUAAAACUCUGUUGGUAGAGAAGAACGUUGGUGAGAGUGGAAAGCUCAUCAAGUGACGGUACCUACCCAGAAAGGGACGGCUAACUACGUG